UAUUGAUUUUUUUUUUAGAUCAGCAGUUAAGCAGAAAAAGUUUUGAAAUUGAUGAUGAUGAAGCAGAUGAAGGAGAUUCUUUUGAUAAUGUACAAACUACAAAAUUAAGAAAUAUGUUUAAUUUUCAUGAUAGAGCAAGUCUUACAAAUAUUAAACUUUGCAAAAAUAUUUCACUGCAGACAGAACCUCCACCUUGUUCCAUUUUUGUUGGAAAUGCUACUCAAUGGGAAAUGUUUGAUACAUACGUAACAGACGAAAAAAUAAAGGAAAAAGAAAAAUUGAGGAGCAGCAUUAAAAUACA